rnacentral:lncRNA from 1 species
UGAGCCUUCAAAGAUUUUCAAACAUUGUUCAGCACACUGGCUAUCCCUUGAGAAUUGUCCGAGACGGUUUCUUCAGCAGUGCCCUGCCUUGAAGUCUUACUUGAACAGUCAUGGUUCAAAGAUGUGCUGCCAGACUCCCUGAUUCGUUGUUCAGCCUGAGUUACCACUUCCUUGUAUAAAUUCAGUACCACCUUUCAGGCUAGUGAGUCGAUGAUUGGUUAUCUCCAUCCAGAAAUGGAACAACUAGUGGGGAAGUUUUUAGUGACAUUUGUAUAGACCAAGGUUAUGACAUCUGCCAGAACCAUCACUGAAGUCCAUGCCGAGGAGAGGGAAAACCAGCAACCAGAUGAGGACCUGGCUGUGGGUAUGGGUACACUCCCUACAUAUCUUCAUGACAACCCGGAUAUUCCAGCAGGAAUGAUCAGAAAGCUUUUCAGUUCUGUGAGAGACUUUAACCUGGGGGACCAGUAUGAUUGUGAAGAAGUUAUCCAUUGGUGACACUACCUAGCACAACCCAAUCUUCUCCAGGAUUAAAACCUACAGCCUUCUAAUAAAAGUCUUGUGUUGGACCUAUGGAGCUUACGGGCAGAGCUGGUUUGGUGGAAAUGAUAUCAAAAGGCCCACUGAAACCAGAGAUUACAUUUUAUGGUGAUGAUGUAGUGUGACCAGUUGCAGAGUUUGUGCAUAAGACAGUUACAUAGAAUGAGUUUACAUUUUGUUGGAAUCCUUGUUGCAGAUAUACUCGGGUUACAGAUUUGCAGUAGCUGUCAGCAACCAAGAAACCAGUAGCCACUCAAAGGACCCAAAUGACCAGACAAUUUGGCAAGAUUAUAAAUUCAAGCGAAGUGUGCCAAAGUUCAAGUCUGGAGAUAUCAUUGGCAAAUCUUAGACAUUUUUAGAUAUAAGUUCAGUCAGUCAGUGUUAAAUUACGGUCCAUCCGCCCUUUCAGACACAAUAAAGCAUAACUGCCAAGUAGACUAUAGACCGAUUUUGCUUAGAUUUAAAAUGACUUCAUGUAAUACUACUGUGAAAUCAUUUAAAUUCGCUGGCAUGAAAUUUCACGCAAACGUGAAAAAGGACUGUUUCGCGCGGGCUUUAAUUCGCGUAUCUUCAAUUUAUAAAUGAAAAAAUAAAAUUAAAAAAUAAUAUUAGCGCGGUCUUAAAUUCGCGCAUUGGUUCUUGCGCGAAAAUUCGCCCUACGCGAAUAAAAAUGAUUUCACAGUAUAUACUUUUAAGUCAAAGGCUUUUCUCGGUAUUUGUAUUUUAUUCUACAUAUCAAGUUCUGGAAAAUAAUAAUAUUGGAGAUGAGUUUUUUAUCAAAAAAAUAAAGAAAAUUAGAUUUUUUUGUUGAUGUGUUUUUAGAAUAAAUAUGUAUCAAGUGACUAUAGCAAAGGCAGAACUACUUGCCACCAGCAGGCCAAACAUUUUUAGGGGCACAAAGUCCUAUGCUUUUGGGCUAAAACAGCUAUUUUCGUGAGGACAUUAAUUUGGGGAUUUAAAUUUUGAACAUGAAGUGAAUGGAAAUUUUAUUUAAUAUCCACUGAGUUUUAAUUUUGUGGAUAAACUCAGCCCCGCAAAAAUGAGUCCCUCCGGAAAAUUUAUGAUUAAAAAAAAAUUUCUUUUCUCGUUUUUCAAAAUUCUUUUCUGUGUUGCCUGAAAACUUGUCAUAUUUAUAUGAAUAUAUAUGACACAUUUUGCACAGCAGGGAAUAAAGAACAUAACCGUGGCAAGGAUUGAACUUCUGUAUCAUAGUCUUGUACAUUGUCUUCUAUGCAAAUCAUUGGGCUUGUGUAUCAUAAAUACCCAUGAUUGAUGUUAGGAGAGUAAUAAUUAACAAAUAUGAAUAUAACAUUUUAUUUGACGUGCUUUUAUGUGAAAAACUGGAAUAUAUCAGUGAAAUAAAAUCAAUAUUUUCACUGUUUGAAACAGUAAAAAUAUCUUUUUUGUUUUUCACUGGUAUGUAACUAUACUUGAAUGUGAAUAAAUAAUCUGAAAUAUUAUGCAAAACAUACUUCAGUAAAGUUAAGAUAUAUAUAAAUACCUACACAAACAAAGAUGUACGCCCAACCAUAAUAAAUGUAAAUGAAAUGUGGAAACUUCAUAGAACUAUUUGAUGAUUUUUUAAGGUAGAUGUCUUGACGUAAUGACAUUUUGACUUUAUGAUGAAAUGCACGAGCCUUUGUGACGGUAAAAUGGGAAUAUUUUAGUUAAAACCAUUUAAAUCAUAUAAAAAAAAGAUAAUUUGUUUGUUUUACAUGUAAACUCGAAAUAUAUUUCACUUGUGAACACCAUAAUUUAUGUUAAAUAUUUCACUUGCAGCUGUGCCUCUCGUGAAAAUAUUGCAUACGGUUUUCACUCUGUGAAAUAUAUUUCUAGCUUACACUGAAACAACUAUCCUCUAGGAAUUUUCUUUUAAGUGGCUCGAAAUUGGAGAGCAUAUCAAUGAUUAUUUCAUGUCACAAUAUGCAAAACAAAUAUAGAAGCAAGUUUAGUAUAAAUCUUAUUUAUUACAUACUCAUUUUUAUUAGCUCAACUAGUCUAGCUCUUCUACUCACCCUGGCAUCGG